GCCUGGGGAGUACGGUCGCAAGAUUAAAACUCAAAGGAAUUGACGGGGACCCGCACAAGUAGCGGAGCAUGUGGUUUAAUUCGAAGCAACGCGAAGAACCUUACCUACACUUGACAUCCCUUGCAUUACUCUUAAUCGAGGAAAUCCCUUCGGGGACAAGGUGACAGGUGGUGCAUGGUUGUCGUCAGCUCGUGUCGUGAGAUGUUGGGUUAAGUCCCGCAACGAGCGCAACCCUUGUCGUUAGUUACUACCAUUAAGUUGAGGACUCUAGCGAGACUGCCUGGGUUAACCAGGAGGAAGGUGGGGAUGACGUCAAAUCAUCAUGCCCCUUAUGUGUAGGGCUACACACGUGCUACAAUGGCUGGUACAGAGAGAUGCAAUACCGCGAGGUGGAGCCAAACUUAAAAACCAGUCUCAGUUCGGAUUGUAGGCUGAAACUCGCCUACAUGAAGCUGGAGUUACUAGUAAUCGCGAAUCAGAAUGUCGCGGUGAAUACGUUCCCGGGUCUUGUACACACCGCCCGUCACACCAUGAGAGUUGGCAAUACCCGAAGUCCGUGAGCUAACCGCAAGGAGGCAGCGGCCGAAGGUAGGGUCAGCGAUUGGGGUGAAGUCGUAACAAGGUAGCCGUAGGAGAACCUGCGGCUGGAUCACCUCCUUUCUAAGGA
rnacentral:rRNA from 1 species